ACAAGCUUUCAAACAGAUGUAAAAACACAUUUGAUAAUCACAAUGAUCUAUAGAUAAUCUAUUACGAUCACUGUAACAAGUAUCUACACCAAGAGAAUAACAUUAUGGAUCUAGAUCUGUGAAGAAAUAGACAUAACAAACGGUAACCAAAAAGUGUUCCUAAGUGUUUCAGUAGAGGAAAGUAUUGUUUUGUAGGCCUACUAAUGACAUUUAAAUGUCGGCUGUGAAAUACAUAGUGAAUAGUAUUUGCGAAUAAUUAUUUUUUGUUUUGGUAAAUGUAACUACUGCGGUAUUGAUCUUGAAAAUGGCUUGCCUGUCCUGGGCUACAGUUAAGUAAGAACAGGUUACAUUUUCGUAAUUUUUCCUACACGGCAAGUGAGAGAAUUAGGGAUGAGUGGACAGGACCAAGGACUUUAUAUUUGUACUGUAGAUUUGAGAUCUGUCUAUGAACGUAGAGAUUUUAAGUAAUUUCCCCGCCUCACGCCAUCUUACACCUGCCACAUAGACUCCAGAGAUUCCAACAUUACAUUUUUAGUUCAUUUAGUUAAAUAGAUAACUUAGAAUUUUUUUUUCAUCUAUAGUAAAACGUUGAAACAGAUUCCACUUGUGGAAACAUCUUCAUUGCCCGGUGCUAGAAAUAUUCAUUUUAACCAACACAACGAUAAUUCAAAAAGUUAUAAAAUCGGCGGAGACAUGCAUUUCCAUCAAGCCGUGAGCGUCGACACUAUUGAAAAUCUAAGGGUGAAUCACCUUGACUCGCUGAAAGCUGAUUCAGUUACAAAGGUUGAUAGUAACAAUACUGGUACAUUGGACAUUGUUCAAGCUUCCAAUGUAACCACUGCCUCUAGAACUGUUAGUGUGGCUCAAGCUGGUAGUGUUAACACUGGAAAAGCUGGAACUUAUAAUAUUAACUCUGUAGACACUCUAAUAAUACAAUAAAAAUAACAUCUAAUUAAAA
rnacentral:sRNA from 1 species